UUUAGCUGUCCUCUUUGUUGUAGUCAUCGUAUGCUUUAUUGCAAGAAAAAAAUUGAGGAACACUAAAGCCAAACUGGAAGUAAAUCAAGUGAGAUUCAGUGCAAACCCAGAUGAACUUAGGAACGAUGUAGAACUGGAAGAUCGUGCGUAUGAAAAUUCAAGCAGGAACGAUGUAGAACUGGAAGAUCGUGCGUAUGAAAAUUCAAGCAGGAACGAUGUAGAACUGGAAGAUCGUGCGUAUGAAAAUUCAUGCAGGAACGAUGCAGAACUGGAAGAUCGUGCGUAUGAAAAUUCAAGCAGGAACGAUGUAGAACUGGAAGAUCGUGCGUAUGAAAAAUUGAAUGAUACCAGGCAUGCAAGUGGGCAAUCGGAAACAUUAUAUUCUCAACUAUCUCCAUAGACUUACUAAGAAAUGAUCUAGUUAAAGCAAUAGGCAGGUUAUGGGAGUUGAGAAAAUGUCAAAAUCUAACUGAUACCGCUGUUUCACGUCUUCAUACAGAUAUUGAUGCAGUUCGGGGAAAUUGUCCUCCAAGGAAAAAUUGUCCUAACUGUGGAAAUGGGUGUGAAAUUAAAAGGCGCAGAAAUAGUUAAAUAUGUAAGAUAUAUUAACAUGACGAAAGGUUACCAUUUCCUAAUCGAUCCAAAAACGUCAGUUUAACAUGUAUUUUGAGGAUCAAAAUACCCUAAUCAUCUACAAAACAUUGUAAAUACAACAUUUGUGAAUUUAUACAUUUUCUAAACUUUUCUCAUAAUAUAACUAGCCUAUAAUAUAGAAACAAAAAUCGUGUACAUUGUGUGGCUAUACGUAUAUUGAGGUACACUGGGAAUUUCCAUAUUUUGACCAGGCAAUAGAGAAAUUGUAACUUUGUAAGUGUUCACGUUUAAAACGUUUCUGCAUAUUUUACAUACCAAACAUAAAGUUUUAAACGUGCAUAUGUACUUGUAGAGAUGUAAAGGAAUGCAUGUACAAUUUUAAAAUCGCAUCCUCUAUUUAGGAGAUGAAAUAGAAAGACUUUGUUCUAAAUUAAAACCUUCAACUGUGUUAUGUCCCACUUGAUAAGCUUGAUUACGGUGAACAGUUUACCCUUGUACCAUAUUGAGAGGGUUGAGGGUUGGGAGCUUCUUGUACUUUUGUUAUGAACACUGGAUAGAAAUGCUGUUCACACAAAUCCAUAGCGUAGUUUUACUUUCGGACACAUUAAAUGACCUUUAAUGGUAAAUUAUUCUAAAUUAUUAGAUUAAUUGCAUACGAUUAUACAUUUUAUCUUAAUGUGAUCACAAUUACUGUAGUAGUAUGUGUAAAGAUAUUGUUUUGUGUACUGCCCCAAUAGGUUUUGUUUGUAUCUAAAUUGUUCAGUAAAUUAGUAAAGGAAUAUGUCUUCAAUAUGCAGGGCCGCUUGCGGGUCAAGGUCAGGCCAUUUUACCACGAAAAAGAAAAGGCAAAAUUUUCUAAUGAGCAAUACAAAGCCUAUCAUUUCAUGUCUCUCGCGUUACUUCAGUUUUUGUAAAGAAGAAAUAUGUCUAGCAGAAUAUCUAAAGAAAAUAUCUAGAAAUGUAUCAAUUAAUGAUUUUUUAAAGCAUUAAAAUGAGAACAUUUCAUGUGAGUCAAAUAAAUGAAAUAGAUAAUCGUUGCAAUUGACAAAAAUACACCCGGAUCCAAACAGGUUUAGUAAAGACGAUUGAGUUGUAAAUUCUUUUUCGUGCUAAUCUCGCGGUGUCAUACCAAUUCAUUAUAUAAACUGAUUUACACAUGUAUAUGUACAUUUAUCUUAAUUUCAACAGAAAGUUAUCAAAAAUUGAUCAUGCCUUUGCUUUCAUUGACUUUGUUUCACAUUUGUUAUUGCGUUAUACAUUUGUAUUUCACUGAACCGCUUUAAAACACAAGUACUUUCAUAGUCCUAAAAUACUCAUAUUUUACGCUUAAGCUUGGAAUCAAAUUUUCUAAUAACCAUGCAUUAUACCAGUAUGUAACUCAUACGAGACAAAAUUUUCAGUAUGAAAAAUGCCUAUUGGCACAACUGUAUGCUUUAACAUACACAACACAAAAACGGUAGUUAGUCAGAAAAUGACAAUAAAGUCUUUCGCCUGAAAUGUGAAUCAGAUCAGCGAAUAUUUUUUAUCAAAUUGAUUUCAGUUGUUCUUAAUUGCAUAGAUAUGUUGUUUCGAGUUAAACUCUUAUCAACUCUUUAGGACGUGGUACUCGGAAAUUUAUGUUUGUUUCGCAAAGUCACUCCCUUUGUGCACUGACAUGAAAAAGUCGACAUUAUCCCCGUCUACAUCUUCAAGAAAAUGAAAUUAAUUUUGGACCUACAUUUGAUAGAGAAUUUUGACCCCAUACAUUGAAUUGAGGUAUUAAAUCAUAAUGUAAGCCAUAAAUUGCUUACUGUUUUUAUGCAUGAUUGUUUUCUUUUAACUAAACACCAGAAAUUAUACGUAAUUUUCAAAGUAUUUUUGGCCGAACGUCAAAAAGUGUUGCGUUUUAAAGUGGUUUAAUGCACUUAAUCAAAUCAAUGUAUGUAUAUUACUUAAACUUUAACCGGUAAUUUAGCACAACAUGGAAUAUAUUUUGUUGUUUUGUUGUUGUUGUUGGUUUGAAUAUCAUACCGACAUGAAUACGCUUUUGUUUUCCAGCUAAUACAACAUUCAAAUUUUAAACUGUAUCUGCUGUACUAAUUAAAAGCUACCAACUUAAUA